rnacentral:lncRNA from 1 species
GCACCCAACAAAACAUUUAAGUCUAUUGUACUUUGUAACAAAUGUCCCAAAAGGUUCUCUAAAUAUUCCAAUUUAAAAAGGCAUGUCACUAAGUUUCAUCCAGAAAAUAUCAACGAGCUGACUUCAUCUAAGAUUUGCCCAUAUCAAUGCAGUGAAUGCCAGAAAAAGUUUUCACAUUUACAAAAUCUUAGAAAACAU